CCUACGGGUGGCUGCAGUGGGGAAUUUUGCGCAAUGGGCGAAAGCCUGACGCAGCGACGCCGCGUGGGUGACGAAGGCCUUCGGGUCGUAAAGCCCUGUGGGGAGGAACGAACCGGCAUCGGGCUAAUAUCCCGGUGUCUUGACGGUACCUCCUUAGCAAGCACCGGCUAACUCUGUGCCAGCAGCCGCGGUAAGACAGAGGGUGCAAACGUUGCUCGGAAUUACUGGGCGGGUAGGGCGAGUCGGGUGUGAAAGCCCAGGGCUCAACCCUGGAAGUGCAUUCGAAACUGCCAGGCUAGAGUACUGAAGAGGAUCGCGGAAUUCCCGGUGUAGAGGUGAAAUUCGUAGAUAUCGGGAGGAACACCAGUGGCGAAGGCGGCGAUCUGGGCAGAUACUGACACUGAGACGCGAAAGCGUGGGCAGCAAACAGGAUUAGAUACCCCUGUAGUC
rnacentral:rRNA from 1 species